AUUGAACGCUGGCGGAAUGCUUUACACAUGCAAGUCGAACGGCAGCACGGGGCAACCUGGUGGCGAGUGGCGAACGGGUGAGUAAUAUAUCGGAACGUGCCCAAUCGUGGGGGAUAACGUAGCGAAGUUACGCUAAUACCGCAUACGAUCUACGGAUGAAAGCGGGGGAUCGCAAGACCUCGCGCGAAUGGAGCGGCCGAUAUCAGAUUAGGUAGUUGGUGGGGUAAAGGCUCACCAAGCCAACGAUCUGUAGCUGGUCUGAGAGGACGACCAGCCACACUGGAACUGAGACACGGUCCAGACUCCUACGGAGGCAGCAGUGGGGAAUUUUGGACAAUGGGCGCAAGCCUGAUCCAGCCAUUCCGCGUGCAGGAUGAAGGCCUUCGGGUUG
rnacentral:rRNA from 1 species